GGCGGCCCGCCUCCUGCGGCGACUGGUUGUACGUCACUUCCGCUGGUUCGCUGUCGGCUUCCGGGGCCUCAGCUGGUUCGGUUGCUGGCGUGUUCGGUAGGUUUUUUGGGCCGUGGUAUCACUAGGAAGUCUCCUUUUCUUCUUGCAGUCUCCCGCUUCUUGAUCCUGAGUGUCUUCGGUAUCGUACGGUCAAGGCUCAGCUUCGAACUUUGUACCAAAGCCUUGUGAGUGGCUUACCCAGAGCCCCGAGCCAGGAGUCAUCGGUAAGAUAUGCAAACAACCAAAGUGCCUGUCAAUAGAUGAAUGGAUAAAGAAGAUGUGGUGCAUAUACACAAUGGAAUAUUAUUCAGCCAUAAAAAAAAAUCCUGCCCUUGGCAAAAACAUGGAUGGACCUUGAAGCUAGAGAAUUCAUUUAAUAUGGCAAUUGGCCAGGGAGACUACUUAAUUUACCAGUAAGAGACAAACAGAUUAUCUACAGUGAUGGCCAUUUUAAUGUCAGCUUGCUAGAGAGACCCCAUCUGUCUACCUUCCAGCUGCAGCUGAGGUGAACAUUCCUGUGCAAGGCCGUACUCUCCUCACUGACAGUGUUACUAAGCAGGAGCCACUUGUUUUCAGCCUUCUGCUCCAGAGCCUUCUCUGAUGCUGCUGCAGUCCGUCUGCUCACAAACAACACAACUGAAAAGUACAGGGGCUAACGCUCCCGGGGGAACCCUUAACCAAUGAGGGAAGACAGAAGAUGGAAAAAUGUUUCUUCUUCUUGAUCUUUGGGCAGAUAAUUCUGGUGGAUAUUGCAUAUACUUCCAGAAUGUCCUGGUGGCAAGCAUUGUGCACAGUACUAAUUUGGUAAGACACCUUUAAAUUGGCUUUUCACCUCUAUCAUACUCUUCCCCCUCCAUCAACCCUGCUUUCUGGUAUCAAAUCCCUAAUUAGUUGUCCCAAUUCCUUAUCUUAAGUUCUGCUUUCAUGGAAAGACAAACAAACACAGAGAGCUAAAGUUGAUUUCCAUUGCUUGCAACCAAAUACACUGAUAUACUCCAUGCCUAUUAUUCAUCCAGGUUCCACUUUCUUGAUUAAUGGUACCAUCAUCCAUAGUGCACAAAUACUUAGGAGUCAUUCUUGACCCCUUCACCUUCUUCCCCAUUUUGGUCUCUGAAUUACUUCAAGUCCAGUUGAUUUUAUCUCUUGAAUAUUUCUUGAAUGCAUUCAUUCUUCUGUCUUCACUACCACCACUUUAGUCCCAACUGCCAACAUCUCUCAUGGGUCCUACUGCAGUAACUAGUUUAUUCACAUCCACUCUAGCUAUCUGUCCAAUCUCUUUAUCACAUUGAAACUAGAAUAAUAUCUUCAAAAUUCCUAUUAGCCCUUACUUGAAAUACUUAAUGGUGUUACAUCACUCUAAGAAUAGAGACAAAAUUCUACAAGCUGUUUCAGAAGGUUCUGCAUGAUGGGCCUCUCCUUCAUCCGCAGAGGUAUCUUCAAGUUUUGCACUCCUCGCUGCCCUAGCCACACUGGCCUACUUUGAGUCCUGCAUGCUCACCAAGCCCACAGAAUAUUUUCAUGUGUUAUUCCAUAUGCCUGUAAUCUUUCUCCUCUCUUCGCUUUUCAUUCUGCAGUUAAGAGUGUGGACUCUAGAACCAGAGUACUCUGGUUUAUAACCCCAGUUCUACUAUUUCCUGGCUUUGUGACUUUGGGCAAGGUACUUAACUAUUAUGUGCCUCAAUUUCCUCUUGUGUAAAACAGAGGUAAUAAAAGACUCAAUCCAGAGCAAUGCUUGAGGAUUAAAUGGGUUAGUAUUACACACAAAGCAUGUAAAAUAGUACCUAGCACAUAGCAUUACUAUGUAAGGGUUGUUUUUUUUGUUAGUCAACUAUCUCAGAUUAGGCAUUACUUUUUCAGGGAAAACUUUCCCUAACUUCCCCAAAUAAAUCAAAUGCCAUCAUUCUAGGCACUUGUUCCUUUCUUCAUAGCACUAGUAACAGUUGCAGUUUUACAUUUAUUUAUGUGAUUAUUUUUUCAUAACUGAAAUAUUGGCUGCACAGCUGUUUCUUUUAUUAUUUUACUUUAAACUGUAUGUAUAUCUGCAUUCUUUAAAAUUUUGCUAUCGGAUAGUUGCCAGUUUUAUUGAGAUAUAAUUGACAUGAUAAGCUGCAUGAUAAUAUUUAAAGUGUAUGAUUUUGUAAGCUUUGGUAUAUGUAUACAGCUGUAAAAUACCACCACAAUCAAACCUUACAAAGUUUUAAGUAACCUUACUCCCCAUAUGUGUUUUCCUUAUGCCGUCUUUAUGUGAUGUUCUGAUGCUUAUACACCUGAAAGUAUAUGUCAGCCAUACAAUUAAUGAUAGUUUAGUUUUAUGUAAAAUUCUAGAUUUGAAAUACUCAUUUGAUACUUUGAAAAUAUUGCUUCAUGUUCUUCUUGCAUGCCAGUUUUGUUCCUGCACUUUUUAUGUGAUUGAUUAGUAUCUUUUUCUACAAUUAGACAAUAAACU